AGCCUGAUAGCACAAUGGUUAGUGCAUCCGCAUUUCUUUAUGUAAGAGAGUGGAACCUUCUGCAGAAAAUCCCUGUUCGAUUCGGGGUCAGGCCA